AACGAACGCUGGCGGCGUGGAUUAGGCAUGCAAGUCGAACGCAUCAUUUAGCUUUUUCGAAUGAUGAGUGGCGAAAGGGUGAGUAACGCGUGGGCAACCUGCCCUAAGGUGGGGGAUAACCUGUCGAAAGACGGGCUAAUACCGCUUAAGCUUCCAGACUGAGAUGUUUGGAAGGAUAGAUGGGGAUCUCUUCGGAGACCUGUCGCCUUUGGAUGGGCCCGCGUCCUACAGCUAGUUGGUGAGGUAAUGGCUCACCAAGGCUAAGACGGGUAGCUGGUCUGAGAGGAUGGUCAGCCACACUGGGACUGAGACACUGCCCAGACACCUACGGGUGGCUGCAGUCGA
rnacentral:rRNA from 1 species